AAAACACUUAAAUUAUGAACUAAGGAAAAUGAAGGGGCCAAAGAUGUUAAAAUCGAAACUUAUGUUGCUAAUUUAAUUAAAACAAAAACCAAACACCCCAUUUGGGGAUGUCUGGUCGUACAAAGAAGCAGGAGGCGAUGGGUUUCUUCAAACCCUAAAAUCCUUACUAAAACUCUCAAAUUGGAGGUGCAAAUCUGGUCCAAAACGAAAAUCGAGCAUAGAUUACUGAUCCCCAUUGCAAGGGGGUUGUAAGUUUGACUCUUGACAAGCUAGAUGGAGGCUUGGAAUGAAGCGGGUCAAACGGAGGAAGUACGAAAAGGAAAGCGUAAUUUGGAUGCGAGGUAAGUAAAGCUUACGCCCUCUUUUGUAAGUUAUGUGUUUAUUCAUAGGUUGUAAAUACGACAAAAGCUAUAUUUGAAAUAUGGUUCCGACACGAAAUGAAACGGGUCGGGACAUAUAAAAUAAUGAUAAACCAUGUUUAAUGGUAAAAUGGGCGAAAUGGUAAUUGGUCACGAGAUGACAUAUAUAUAAAAUGAGUUUUUGAAUGGCUACUUAUUAAGGUAAGCCUAAACGAAUAAAAAGAGUAAAACGACGAAUUAGUCAUGUGUAGACGAAAAAGAGUUGAAGUUUAAAACAACACCAUUUAAUAUUAAGCACAAAAUAUUUGGUAGUCUAGACCAAACGGGUCAAAUGGUAAUAUUUAUACCAUUUGACAAUUAACGACUAAUAAGUGUAUGUCGAGUCUCAUGCUCGCAGGGUAAUUGGUUUAUGAAUUAGCGAGGCUAUGAAUUAGCAUAUUAUAGAGACAAGGUCUUAAAACGGGUCAAUAUGUUGACCCGAGCCAGUCUUAGGUACUCAAGGAUUAUGGGUGAUGAUCAAGCAACUUUUGAAGGACCGAACACAUACUCUUGAAGCUUCCGCAUAAAUCAACUCGGUUUAAACAAUGUUUAUGAUGUAAACUGUUUGCUAAACAACUUUUGAAAUGUUUAAACGACGUACUCAAUUAUGUUAUAUUGUAUUAUUUUUAAA